ensembl:lncRNA
GGCGUCUCUUUGCCUGCGCUGAGCACUCCUGAAAUUCCACGCAGCUUCUCCCAUAUCUGUAUUUUCAGCAAAUUCAAAUUAAUUUCAGCUUUUCUAAUAUCUGUCAUUUCAGAAAAUGUAUUCAAAUUCCCUUCAACUUUCUGUAUUUUCAGCUAUUUUAAAAAAUUUGGUUCAGAUUUCAGCUUUUUGCAUUCCAACGCAUUUUCAGCAGGAAAUGCAUUUUCUAGUUUUAUUAGUAUUUCCCCAGGAGCAUUCUCUACUUCGCAUUUUAUACUAUAAACUUUUAAAAAAAUGAAUUAAAUAGUGCAACUAAUCGUCUUAAUUUCCCGGUGCUCUGCAGUGUAGUUUUAUCUGAAAACCAAUUACAUAUGUUGUCUAAUUCUCUGCUUAGUUCACAUUAACUUUGCCUUCAGUCAUACUGUUUGCAACACUGCAGUACUGUAAAAAGAACACGUGGGAGCGCUAGAGAUCCUUCCCUGUAGCCCAGCCAGCCCGUCAUUGAGCAUAUAGACAGCACCGAUUCUGUGAAUAUAUUUGUGAGGGUGGAAAGGCGGCAGACGAAGAAGGUACCCAGUGAGCACAAGACGUAAUUUCAACGUUGAAAUAUGGUUGAAAUCGGGUUGAAAUGAGGUCUGAACGUCUAAGACCUCAUUUCAACGUCUUUUCAACCGUCUAAAAAUGGGAUGAAACAUCAACGUGCCAGAAAACGUUAAUUUGUUGAUAAAUGUGUCAUGUUGUAACGUAAGGUUGAAAGAGAGACGAUAUUAACGUUAAGAUUUUCAUAAUAAUUAAUGAACUGGUCGGCGAAAUUUGGUCUACGCGAAGACGUAAUUUCAACGUAUUUACUAUUUCGCUUAAAACGUCAUAAAUAUGAAACUACGGACUGCGUGCUGUUAAUAAGAUGCGUUUAAGACAUAAUAAUGCGGGCAGGUUCAAACAUUACUUGUAAACACGUAACUCCGCUCACAUCUGUAACGCGCAUGCGCGAGUUCUUAGACGCCUGCAGAGCUCCGAGCGGACGCAGCACGAAGCGAAGUUACGGCAGCAGAGCGACAUGAACGGGCUGAUAGAACCACGACUACCGGCUCCACUGCUCUGUUUCUGCAGGUGGUGGUUGCAUCUGAUGGAGGUUACGUCUGAUGAUGGUUGUCCCUGCACUGGUCCUGCAUUACCCCUGGCUUAGUAAUCCACAAUAUUAGAAUCAUUUCUGUCGUAGGAAUUGGAUGUACUGUACAUCUUUAAAUUGUUCAUACUCUACACACCUACUGCCUUGCUGUUUUCUCCUCAGGUUUCUCCCGGUUGAAGGUUUUUUACAUUUUGGGGGUUUUAGGACAGGAUGUUGCAUGUUUACAGAUUGCAAAGCUGAACAAAAUAAAAUGAUUUGAAUUGAAUAAACACGUUGACCAGAGAAAUCUGCAAUUGAGGGCUGUUCUCUGCACUCUGACUCCCUUUACACAAAGAAUCAUCAAGUGAGGAUGAGGGAGAUGCAGCUGAUUUCAG